CCUACGGGAGGCAGCAGUGGGGAAUCUUCCGCAAUGGACGAAAGUCUGACGGGGCAACGCCGCGUGAGUGAGGAAGGUCUUCGGAUCGUAAAGCUCUGUCUUUGAGGGUGAAUGUGCUUAAUGUGAAUGAUGUUAAAUAAUGACGGUACUUCGUGAGAAAGCCACGGCUAACUACGUGCCAGCAGCCGCGGUAAUAAGGGCGAA
rnacentral:rRNA from 1 species